AAGUCGUAACAAGGUUUCCGUAGGUGAACCUGCGGAAGGAUCAUUAGCGAGAUUGCUGCGCCGCCGGGCCCUUGUGGUUUGUGCGUGCGCAAGCAAGCGCCAUCCUUGUGUUAUGUGUGGUGUCGCGUGUGCGCACUCUCUCUCUGGAGGUGUGCGCACAUGCGCAUUCUUUUUCACCAACCCAUUAUAUUAUUUAUUCUAAUCCACAAGCUCAUACGAGCACAAACAAUCGAAAACUGCCAGCAAUGGAUCACUCGGUUCUC
rnacentral:misc_RNA from 1 species